CCGGUUCCGUACUUGAUAACUGCAAUAUUUUCGACAUUUGAUAAAUGAUUACUCAGGACAUUCGGGAACGACGUGGUUGUAACGAACAUCGCCGUUAAUAUAAAAGAAGUCGGGCAUGACAGCAUUGAUAGUAUCGAUCAUCUUAUCUUUUCCCAACUGAUUCUUUUGCCGUUAUUCCUUAACGCGACAAUAAUUAUGAAGUCAAUCCUCGUUUUCCUUGCCGUAGCCGGCCUUGUUGCCGUGAUGCAUGCCCAAGGAAUCCAACAAGGACCUAUUCCACCCCAACAAGGACCUGUUCCACCCCAACAAGGCGGCCCAGGUGGUGCGCCAGGGGUUGGACCUGGUUCCAGUGGUUCUAGUGGAGGCCUCUCUGGACAAGGUGUACCUCCACCCCUUCCUGGUCAAGGUCAAGAAAUCGUAGGUGGUGGUGGUAAUGCGCAGUACGGAGAAGGUACAGGUGCUGUGGGCGGCAACUGCUUUGGGUCAGGGUGCAAUUGAUGUUUGUGGUGGUGCGCACUUAAUGCUGUAUCAUGAACUCUAAGUUGAUAAUAUUCAAACUAACCGACCUUGAUUUUUUACUGGCUGAGCAAUGUAACACUACAACAAGAUCGGAGCGUAAAAGACAUUCUAGAGAAUACGAUCCAAGAUCAGCUAUUAAAGAGCUGCAUGCUGUGCAGAA